rnacentral:rRNA from 1 species
UACGAAAGGUGCAAGCGUUGUUCGGAAUGACUGGGCGUAAAGCGCACGUAGGCGGUCUUGCAAGUCGGAUGUGAAAUCCCCGGGCUCAACCCGGGAACUGCACCCGAAACUGCUUGACUUGAAUGCUUGAGAGGUUGGUGGAAUUCCAGGUGUAGGAGUGAAAUCCGUAGAUAUCUGGAGGAACAUCGGUGGCGAAGGCGACCAACUGGUGAUGCAUUGACGCUGAGGUGCGAAAGCGCGGGGAGCAAACAGG